GUGCUCGCUUCGGCAGCACAUACAUUAAAACUGGAACGAUACAGAGAAGAUUAGCAUGGUCCCUGUGCAAGGAUGACAUGCAAAUUCGUGAAGCGUUCCGUAUAUUU